AUUGAACGCUGGCGGCAUGCCUUACACAUGCAAGUCGAACGGUAACGGGCCUUCGGGUGCCGACGAGUGGCGAACGGGUGAGUAAUGCAUCGGAACGUACCUUUCAGUGGGGGAUAACGUAGCGAAAGUUACGCUAAUACCGCAUAUUCUGUGAGCAGGAAAGCAGGGGAUCGCAAGACCUUGCGCUGAUUGAGCGGCCGAUGUCAGAUUAGCUAGUUGGGGAGGUAAAGGCUCACCAAGGCGACGAUCUGUAGCGGGUCUGAGAGGAUGAUCCGCCACACGGGAACUGAGACACGGUCCAGACUCCUACGGGAGGCAGCAGUGGGGAAUUUUGGACAAUGGGGGCAACCCUGAUCCAGCCAUGCCGCGUGAGUGAAGAAGGCCUUCGGGUUGUAAAGCUCUUUCGGUCGGGAAGAAAUCGCAUGGGUUAAUACCCUGUGCGGAUGACGGUACCGGCAUAAGAAGCACCGGCUAACUACGUGCCAGCAGCCGCCGUAACAC
rnacentral:rRNA from 1 species